UAGGGAAUCUUCGGCAAUGGACGAAAGUCUGACCGAGCAACGCCGCGUGAGUGAAGAAGGUUUUCGGAUCGUAAAACUCUGUUGUUAGAGAAGAACAAGGACGUUAGUAACUGAACGUCCCCUGACGGUAUCUAACCAGAAAGCCACGGCUAACUACGUGCCAGCAGCCGCGGUAAUACGUAGGUGGCAAGCGUUGUCCGGAUUUAUUGGGCGUAAAGCGAGCGCAGGCGGUUUCUUAAGUCUGAUGUGAAAGCCCCCGGCUCAACCGGGGAGGGUCAUUGGAAACUGGGAGACUUGAGUGCAGAAGAGGAGAGUGGAAUCCCAUGUGUAGCGGUGAAAUGCGUAGAUAUAUGGAGGAACACCAGUGGCGAAGGCGGCUCUCUGGUCUGUAACUGACGCUGAGGCUCGAAAGCGUGGGGAGCAAACAGG
rnacentral:rRNA from 1 species